rnacentral:rRNA from 1 species
GACGAACGCUGGCGGCGUGCCUAAUACAUGCAAGUCGAGCGGACGAAUCGAAAGCUUGCUUUUGAUUCGUUAGCGGCGGACGGGUGAGUAACACGUGGGCAACCUGCCCUGUAGACGGGGAUACCACCGAGAAAUCGGUGCUAAUACCGGAUAACACGAAAUGUCGCAUGACGUUUCGUUGAAAGACGGCGCAAGCUGUCGCUACAGGAUGUGCCCGCGGCGCAUUAGCUAGUUGGUGAGGUAACGGCUCACCAAGGCGACGAUGCGUAGCCGACCUGAGAGGGUGAUCGGCCACACUGGGACUGAGACACGGCCCAGACUCCUACGGGAGGCAGCAGUAGGGAAUCUUCCGCAAUGGACGAAAGUCUGACGGAGCAACGCCGCGUGAGCGAAGAAGGCCUUCGGGUCGUAAAGCUCUGUUGUUAGGGAAGAACAAGUAACGCAGUAACUGGCGUUACCGUGACGGUACCUAACGAGAAAGCCACGGCUAACUACGUG